UAAGCCUACGGGGGGCAGCAGUGGGGAAUAUUGCACAAUGGGGAAACCCUGAUGCAGCGACGCCGCGUGGGUGAAGAAGUAUUUCGGUAUGUAAAGCUCUAUCAGCGGGGAAGAAAAUAACGGUACCUGACUAAGAAGCCCCGGCUAACUACGUGCCAGCAGCCGCGGUAAUACGUAGGGGGCAAGCGUUAUCCGGAUUUACUGGGUGUAAAGGGAGCGUAGACGGCAGGGCAAGUCUGGAGUGAAAGCCCGGGGCCCAACCCCGGGACUGCUUUGGAAACUGCCAUGCUGGAGUGCUGGAGAGG
rnacentral:rRNA from 1 species